rnacentral:lncRNA from 1 species
UGCUUGAGCCCAGGAGUUCAAGACCAGCCUGGGCAACAUGGUGAAGAUCUGUUUCUAUAAAAAAUACAAAAAAUUAGCCCGGCUUGGUGGCGAGCGGCUGUAGUCGCAGCUACUCAGGAGGCGGAAGCUGAAGGAUCGCCAGAGCCCGAGGAAGUCAAGGUUGCAGUGAGCCGUGAUGGUACCACUACACUCCAAACUGCACUCCAGCCUGGACAACAGA